UACAGAGGUCUCAAGCGUUGUUCGGAUUCAUUGGGCGUAAAGGGUGCGUAGGCGGCGCGGUAAGUCGGGUGUGAAAUCUUGGAGCUUAACUCCGAAACUGCAUUCGAUACUGCCGUGCUUGAGGACUGGAGAGGAGACUGGAAUUUACGGUGUAGCGGUGAAAUGCGUAGAUAUCGGGAGGAACACCAGUGGCGUAGGCGACUACCUGGCCUGUUCUUGACGCUGAGGCGCGAAAGCUAGGGGAGCAAACGGG
rnacentral:rRNA from 1 species